rnacentral:pre_miRNA from 1 species
CUGAUACUCCCUCCGUUCGGAAUUAAUUGUCUCGAAAAUGGAUGUAUCUAGAACUAAAAUAAGUCUAGAUACAUCUAUUUCUGCGACAAAUAAUUCCGAACGGAGGGAGUACAUA